rnacentral:rRNA from 1 species
UCCCAGACUCCUACGGGAGGCAGCAGUGGGGAAUAUUGCACAAUGGGGGAAACCCUGAUGCAGCAACGCCGCGUGAGUGAAGAAGUAUUUCGGUAUGUAAAGCUCUAUCAGCAGGGAAGAAGAUGACGGUACCUGAUUAAGAAGCCCCGGCUAACUACGUGCCAGCAGCCGCGGUAAUACGUAGGGGGCAAGCGUUAUCCGGAUUUACUGGGUGUAAAGGGAGCGCAGACGGCAGUGCAAGUCUGGAGUGAAAGCCCGGGGCCCAACCCCGGAACUGCUCUGGAAACUGGGCGGCUAGAGUACUGGAGGGGCAGGCGGAAUUCCUAGUGUAGCGGUGAAAUGCGUAGAUAUUAGGAGGAACACCAGUGGCGAAGGCGGCCUGCUGGACAGUAACUGACGUUGAGGCUCGAAAGCGUGGGGAGCAAACAGGAUUAGAUACCC